GGGAGGCGCAGGGGGUGAUGUGUAUGUGGAGGGGAAGGAAGGUGAAGCAUGGAGACACUGUGUCUGUUGUGAUGGGAAGUGACAUAGAGAGAUUAUGUUUGUUAUGACAGGAAGUGAGGCUUGGCAUUUAAACACUGUUAUGACAGGGAAUGAGGCUUGGAAACUUCCUUCUCACCCUGCUCUCUCUCUCACAGACCACUUCUCACCCUGCUCUCCCUCUCAUAGACCACUUCUCACCCUGUUUCCCUCUCACAGACCACUUCUCAUUCUGCUCUCCCUCUCACAGACCACUUCUCACCCUGCUCUCCCUCUCACAGACCACUUCUCACCCUGCUCUCCCUCACACAGACCACUUCUCACCCUGCUCUCCCUCUCACAGACCACUUCUCACCCUGCUCUCCCUCACACAGACCACUUCUCACCCUGCUCUCCCUCUCACAGACCACUUCUCACCCUGCUCUCCCUCUCACAGACCACUUCUCACCCUGCUCUCCCUCUCACAGACCACUUCUCACCCUGCUCUCCCUCUCACAGACCACUUCUCACCCUGCUCUCCCUCACACAGACCACUUCUCACCCUGCUCUCCUUCUCACAGACCACUUCUCACCCUGCUCUCCCUCUCACAGACCACUUCUCACCCUGCUCUCCCUCCCACAGACCACUUCUCACCCUGCUCUCCCUCUCACAGACCAUUUCUUGCCCUGCUCUCCCUCUCACAGACCAUUUCUUGCCCUGCUCUCCCUCUCACAGACCACUUCUCAUCCUGCUCUCCCUCUCAUAGACCACUUCUCACCCUGCUCUCCCUCUCACAGACCACUUCUCACACUGCCCUCUCUCACAGACCACUUCUCACCCUGCUCUCCCUCUCACAGACCACUUCUCACCCUGCUCUCCAUCUCACAGACCACAUCCCUCUUACCCUGCUCUCUCUGUCUCUCUCUUUCCCUCACAGGCCACAGUCUGCUGAAGCUGUGCAAGGCUCAGCCAGACCAGCGGUGGGUUGGGGCAGCUGGCAUGGACAGUUACAAGUAUCGCAUCUGUGGGGAGGCUGGCGCUGAGCUGAUCAUUCCUGUCCCUACAGGCACCACCGUCUGGCUCGAGCAGCACCAGAAAUUGCUGGGUGAGAUAAACUGUGCAGGAGACAAGGUGUUGGUGGCUUGAGGUGGGCAGAGCAGCAACCCCAGCAACCAGUACAAUGGGCAGAAGGGACAGGGACACAUUGUGAAGCUGAAACUGAAGCUGUUGGCUGAUGUGGGUCUGGUGGGCUUCUCUAACGCUGGCAACAGCAUUAGGGAAGCCUGAGGAACAGUGGUGUUCCUCAGGGUUCUGUCCUGUCACCCACUCUUCUUAUUAUUCAUUAAUGAUCUUCUAAACCAAACUUCUUGUCCUAUCCACUCCUACGCUGAUGAUACCACCCUGCACUUUUCCACAUCUUUUCAUAGACGUCCAACCCUUCAGGAGGUAAACAUUUCACGCAGGGAAGCCACAGAACGCCUGACUUCUGAUCUUUCUAAAAUUUCUGAUUGGGGCAGAGCAAACUUGGUAUUGUUCAAUGCCUCAAAAACUCAAUUCCUCCAUCUUUCAACUCGACAUAACCUUCCAGACAACUAUCCCCUUUUCUUCAGUGACACUCAAUUGCCCCCCUCUUCUACACUGAACAUCCUCGGUCUGUCCUUUACUUAUAAUCUGAACUGGAAACUUCACAUCUCAUCUCUAGCUAAAACAGCCUCUAUGAAGUUAGGUAUUCUGAGACGUCUCCGCCAGUUUUUCUCAUCCCUCAGCUGCUAACUCUGUACAAGGGCCUUAUCUGUCCAUGUAUGGGGUAUGCUUCACAUGUCCGGGGGGUUCCACUCAUACUGCUCUUCUAGACAGGGUGGAAUCAAAAGCUUUUCAUCUCAUCAACUCCUCUCCUCUAACUGACUGUCUUCAGCCUCUCUCUCACCGCCACAAUGUUGCAUAUCUAGCUGUCUUCUACUGCUAUUUUCAUGCUAACUGCUCUUCUGAUCUUGCUAACUGUAUGCCUCCCUUCCUCCCACAGCCUCGCUGCACAAGACUUUCUUCUUUCUCUCACCCCUGUUCUGUCCACCUCUCUAAUGCAAGAGUUAACCAGUAUUCUCAAUCAUUCGUCCCUUUCUCUGGUAAACUCUGGAACUCCCUGCCUGCUUCUGUAUUUCCACCUUCCUAUGACUUGAAUUCCUUCAAGAGGGAGGUUUCAAGACACUUAUUCAUCAAUUUUUGACUACUGCUUUGAUCCUUUUAUGGGACUGGCAUUUCAGUGGCCAUUUUUUUUUAUUGGAUUUUUGUUGCCCUUGGCCAGUGUCCCUCCUACAUUAAAAAAAAAAAAAAAAGUCCACACUGCUGUGGGCCAUCUCCAGCGCCAGACCCAAGGUGGCCAGCUACCCCU